rnacentral:rRNA from 1 species
GAUGAACGCUGGCGGCGUGCCUAAUACAUGCAAGUCGAGCGAACAGACGAGGAGCUUGCUCCUCUGACGUUGGCGGCGGACGGGUGAGUAACACGUGGAUAACCUACCUAUAAGACUGGGAUAACUUCGGGAAACCGGAGCUAAUACCGGAUAACAUGUUGAACCGCAUGGUUCAACAGUGAAAGACGGUCUUGCUGUCACUUAUAGAUGGAUCCGCGCCGCAUUAGCUAGUUGGUAAGGUAACGGCUUACCAAGGCAACGAUGCGUAGCCGACCUGAGAGGGUGAUCGGCCACACUGGAACUGAGACACGGUCCAGACUCCUACGGGAGGCAGCAGUAGGGAAUCUUCCGCAAUGGGCGAAAUCCUGACGGAGCAACGCCGCGUGAGUGAAGAAGGUCUUCGGAUCGUAAAACUCUGUUAUUAGGGAAGAACAAAUGUGUAAGUAACUAUGCACGUCUUGACGGUACCUAAUCAGAAAGCCACGGCUAACUACGUG